UACGGAGGAUGCAAGCGUUAUCCGGAAUUAUUGGGCGUAAAGCGCGCGCAGGUGGUUUCUUAAGUCUGAUGUGAAAGCCCACGGCUCAACCGUGGAGGGUCAUUGGAAACUGGGGAACUUGAGUGCAGAAGAGGAAAGUGGAAUUCCAAGUGUAGCGGUGAAAUGCGUAGAGAUUUGGAGGAACACCAGUGGCGAAGGCGACUUUCUGGUCUGUAACUGACACUGAGGCGCGAAAGCGUGGGGAGCGAACAGG
rnacentral:rRNA from 1 species